AGUGAACGCUGGCGGUAGGCCUAACACAUGCAAGUCGAACGGCAGCACAGUAAGAGCUUGCUCUUACGGGUGGCGAGUGGCGGACGGGUGAGGAAUACAUCGGAAUCUACUUUUUCGUGGGGGAUAACGUAGGGAAACUUACGCUAAUACCGCAUACGACCUACGGGUGAAAGCAGGGGAUCUUCGGACCUUGCGCGAUUGAAUGAGCCGAUGUCGGAUUAGCUAGUUGGCGGGGUAAAGGCCCACCAAGGCGACGAUCCGUAGCUGGUCUGAGAGGAUGAUCAGCCACACGGGAGCGUAGACACGGUCCAGACUCCUACGGGAGGCAGCAGUGGGGAAUAGGGGACAAUGGGCGCAAGCCUGAUCCAGCCAGACCGCGUGUGUGAAGAAGGCCUUCGGGUUGUAAAGCCCUUUUGUGGGGAAAGAAAAGCAGCAGGUUAAUACCCCGCUGUUCUGACGGUACCCAAAGAAUAAGCACCGGCUAACUUCGUG
rnacentral:rRNA from 1 species